UACCACAGCCAUAUCACCCUGCAGCCUAAGACCGGUUACUCACUAAAGCUAAAUCCCUUCACUGAAGGCUGAGCCUGGUCAGUACCUGGAUGGGAGACCACAUGGGAAAACUAGGUUGCUGUUGGAA
ensembl:rRNA 5S_rRNA 5S ribosomal RNA